AUCCAAAUGACGGGUCCCAAAUAAGACGAAAUGCGCAUCAAAUUGGAU
rnacentral:hammerhead_ribozyme from 1 species